rnacentral:lncRNA from 1 species
GGAUAAUUGUAUCUGUUUUAAUAUAAUUAAUGCUGUUUAAACAUAAAUGGGUGCUGAGGGCCCAAAAGGAAAAAAAAGUGUUUUCCUGAGGAAAUUAAUGUAAAGUACGUUUUCAGCCUAUGAUAGUCCACCCUAAACGGCCUGAAUUGAGAAGCAAAUCAUCCGCAUUAAUGGGACUAUAUUAUACCUCGUCUGUGUGUCUCGUGUUUACUCCACUAGAAUAGGAGUCCUGUGAGGGUAAGUGACAUUGUUAUUUAGAACAGACCUUAAGGCUGAAGAUGUACCUCAGCGGCACAGUGACUGCCGGGCCCUGAGUUCAAUUCCUGGUACUGAAAACAAAACAAAAGAACAGAUCUCAGCACAAGAAGACAUGUUCUGGAAAAACAGAAACACAUAUACUUAAUGACUACGGCUGUAUUAAAGGUAUGAAAAUAAACAUUGGGAAGAAAAGCACAAAGAUGAUGAUGGUUACCAGAAAGUUGUGAUUAUAAUUUUUUUGCUAAAAUUUUCAAAUAUUUUUGAAAUGUUUUAUGUGUGUGUGUGUGUGUGAAAGUAAAAUCACAAGUGAAAAAGUAUCAUAUUGGAAGUCCAAACCUAGAUUCCAAUACUGACUGCUGUGUGACCUUGGGUAAGACUGAAUUUCUAGACUUUUCACAAAUGGAAACUCAGGGCUUCCUAGUUCCAGAAUUCUGAUUCUCCUUUCUGCCAACAUCAGUUGUUCCCCCUCCUUCCCUCUGUAGCUUCUAUUCUUUUUUAUUUAUUUUUUUUCCUUUUUUUUCUCUUUUUGAGACAGGGUCUCAUUACGUAGUUGAGACUGCCCUGGAACUCAGGAUGUAGCCCAGGCUGGUCUCGAACUCACAGCGAUCCUCCUGCCUCAGCCUCCCGAGUGCUGGGAUUACAGGCUUGUCCCAUCAUGCCCAGCUUCUGUAGCUUCCAUUCUUCACUCUGGGCCAGAAGGCUGACAUCAGAUCUAGGCCGUCCCGUCCAGAGCGCUCUGCGAAGUCCAGGAGCAGGGCUUUGGGAAGUGUUCUGUACCUGUACACGGGAGCUUUGCAGUUACCAGGCCUCGCCCACCCCCCAGCCAGCCUGCUUCGCACUGAAUCCCCUGCCUCAGUCCUCCGGUAGCGUAGCGGAUGGGUUUAGAGCUGCCAAGACCAGAAGGGCCCAUGGCGUACAAUGAAUAGUGUCUCCCACAGGGCAGAGUCCGGCCCCGGCCGCUGUGGGGGUCCUUCUGUCCCUCUGUUCUUUUGAGGGUGGCCACCUGGCCAGGUGGUGGACGGGAACUUUCCCUGGCUAGUGGGUGUUUGAUGCCGAAGGAUGACUGAUUCUGGGGAAGUGUGGCUGGGCACAGAAGGAAGAAAUGCCCAGACCUGCCCCGGGUGCUUUCUAAACUCCUGCAUUUGCAAGGAUUUUGUUAUCCACCUAGAAAACACAGGCAGACAACCAAAGCCCGGUGGACUAAGUUUUCUUUUCCUCCAGAAUUCAGAGUAUUUGCAAAGUCCCCCUGUCUAGGCCUGCUGUCCAUCUGAGUUCUCUUCCCUGGUACCCUGCGUGCUUUCUCUGGCAAAUCUCUCCCUGAUACAUGCGAUUCAAGCCACUUCACUUCCUGGAAAGGUGCAGUCCAAAGAAAAGAAGGACACCUCAGUAUCCCAGCCCAGCCUCCAUUCAGGGAAGGACCUGGCUAUGAGGCCUUGAAACUUAAUUCUCAUGUUUAUUUCUAGGGAAACCAAGCUAGAUAGACCAGAAAUGUAGGUUCUGUCAAGGCUGCUGCUUCACACGCAUCCAAGAGGCAAUGCUUACCCGGCUGUGAGGGCCCAUGCCUAAAGUCCCAGCACCUGGGAGGCUGAGGCAGGAGGAUCACCGCAAGUCUGAGGCCAGCCUGGUCUACACAGUAAGUUCAAGGCCAGCCUGAGCUACAAGCUGGGGUGGAGCUAGAGUCAAUCGCAUACUUUCACUGCGAUUGAAAUGUGCAAAGUCCCAUCUUAAUGACAGAGCUGUGCUCUUCAAGUCUUCUUACUGAAAAAUUUCCUUGGAACUAUGAAUAUAUCAUAUCCUGCCUCCAAAUAAUCACCUCCUUUUGUUUCUUUUUUUUUAACAUUUGAUAUUUGUUUUCUUGGGAUCUUGGUUUGGGGGAGUCUAUGAUAUUAAAAAUUUAAAUGUGUUCACCUACUAUAUCUACAUGGACAAAAACCCAAGUCAUAUUACAAUGUUUUUAACCAAAAGAAUAGCGUCCUUGCCUCUGAUUCCUACUGUCCAGAAAAAAUGAAAAACACUUUCUAAUCUUUUAGCUAUUUUUUUGAAUAUUGACCUAGCU